AGGGUUUGAUCAUGGCUCAGAACGUACGCUGGCGGCACGCCUAACACAUGCAAGUCGAACGAAGUAGUAAUACUUAGUGGCAGACGGGUGAGUAACAUGUAGGUAUCUGCCCUUUGGCCUGGAAUAACACGAGGAAACUUGUGCUGAUACUGAAUAAGCCCUUACGGGGAAAGUUUUAAUGCCGAAAGAUGAGCCCGCACUUGAUUAGCUAGUUGGUAAGGUAAAAGCUUACCAAGGCAACGAUCAACAGCUGUUCUUAGAGGAAGACCAGCCACAUUGGGACUGAGACACGGCCCAGACUCCUACGGGAGGCAGCAGUGGGGAAUCUUGCACAAUGGGGGAAACCCUGAUGCAGCGAUGCCGCGUGAGUGAAGAAGACCCUUGGGUUGUAAAACUCUUUCGUCGGGGAAGAAAAUGACUGUACCCGAAUAAGAAGGUCCGGCUAACUUCGUGCCAGCCGCCGCGGUAAUAC
rnacentral:rRNA from 1 species